rnacentral:rRNA from 1 species
GAUGAACGCUGGCGGCGUGCCUAAUACAUGCAAGUCGAACGCAUUGAGAGAAGUGCUUGCACUUUUCAAUUUGAGUGGCGAACGGGUGAGUAACACGUGGGCAACCUACCUGAUAGCGGGGGAUAACGAGUGGAAACAUUCGCUAAUACCGCAUAACAAUAGAGAAGGCAUCUUCUUUAUUUAAAAGGCGCUCUAAAGCGUCACUAUCAGAUGGGCCCGCGGUGCAUUAGUUAGUUGGUGGGUUGAAGGCCUACCAAGACGUUGAUGCAUAGCCGAGUUGAGAGACUGAUCGGCCACAUUGGGACUGAGACACGGCCCAAACUCCUACGGGAGGCUGCAGUAGGGAAUCUUCCACAAUGGACGAAAGUCUGAUGGAGCAACGCCGCGUGUGUGAUGAAGGCUUUCGGGUCGUAAAGCACUGUUGUAUGGGAAGAAAUGCUAGGCUAGCAAAUGAGCUUAGUUUGACGGUACCAUACCAGAAAGGGACGGCUAAAUACGUGCCAGCCGCCGCGGUAA